GAUGAUUGGCCGAAGCCCACCAAACCAACUAGGGUUCCCAACCAAAGGCACACAUACAUAACCUGCUCCUACCACUUCUCCCUCUACCCUAGCCGCCACUGCUUCUUCUGUCCUCCGGCACCCCAACUCCAUGUUCUUCCCCCACCUCACGACUCCGGCCAUGUUGGCGAAUCCACUCCAUCACAAGACCUCAAUCCCACAGCCCCUCGCCUCAGAUCUCUACUUCCUCACGUGCAGGCUUGCUCCCCUCGCCUCAGAUCUUGACUUCCUCAUCUGAAGGCUUGCUCCACUCGCCUCGCCGUCUCGGCGUAUAGCUACGUACCCUCUCCGUCGACUUCGAGAGGGCCUUCAAGAUCCACGACAAGCUACACAUCGGCCUGAAGCCCUCCCUUUUUUCAAUAUUUUGUCAUGGUGGUUUUAGGGUUUCUUUGUGUCGACACGCAGAUAACAUCAGGCGAGGAGCUGUUGUGUCACCAUGGAAGAAGUCGCAAGAAGAUCUACCACGCCGUCUCCAUUCCGGGACCUCUCACCCGCGCCGCCGCCUCCCUGCGCUCUUUGCCGCCGCCGUCGCCCAUUGCCGUGGACGCCUCCUCCUUGCUGGCGAGAUGGUACGGCCUUUCCCAGAUUCAAGCCAUAUUGAUGCAUCCUUCUAGGUUCUGAAGUUUUACUCGUUUCAGUGUGGGUGCACAAGUUUUAGUACGGGCUUGUCAGAUUUGAUAGUGCGUGCCUUCUCCCUAUACCAGCAAAGACAGUAAACAGGUUCAUUUUUCUAGUUUUAACAUAAAUCAUAUAUUCCCGUGCAAGUACUGAUAAAUACAUGUUGGUAUGACGUCCGCCCAUGUCGUCAACUCCAUGUUCUUCGAGAACUCUUUUCCUUUCUACAUGACGCAGUACUUUUCGAUACUGAUAGGUUAGCCAACGUUUUUGGUUUAGCUUCUUCAAGCUUUAACAUGGUUGUUUGUAUCCCGAAGACUUUAAUAAGAUGUGUUGUAGCUUAUAAUGAACAGAUACAGUCUUCAACCAACAAAAUUACCUUUCCUAAAAAAACUGGAAUUGUCAAUUGGAAUGAAAAUAUUUAGCUUACACGGUACUAAUCGCAUCCCUAGUAUGAUGAGAUACAUGUUUUAAGUUAUGGCCGUUUGCUCUCCAGUCAUGGGCAUUCAAUUUUUCCAUCAUGUUCUGAUGAAACAAAUAGGAACAACCGAAGAAUAAUGGAUUCACUAACACGUACAUGCCUCAUGUGUCCCUUUCUUAAAUUUAACUGAAUGUUUUUUUAUUAUAUUUUGUUCAGAGGAGUUGAUGGUCUACUCUCUUAUUUGUUUAGUUGAUCUAUACUGUCAGAAUUUUGUGAUUCAAGAGAGGUGUAUAUUUCAUCUAGAAAUCUAGCCUCUCCUGUGUGUUGUUACCUCUUUUUCGUGCAUUUUAUUUUUCCGACACCACAAUCAACUGUGUGUAUGUACGUUCCGCCUUGCCAUUAAGUACUAAACAAAUCAGUUUUCUAUUAUCCCUAUAAUGUAAAUGUUAUGAAUAAUUUCUUCCAUAAAAUCCCAUUUUUAUUUCUAAGAAUCAUUUACUCCGCACUGCAAAGUUAGAAUAUAAAAUUAAGUCGAUAGAAGCUAUUGCUAUGUUCUACCCCGGGAGUAGUUGCAUGUUGGUGUACAUUUUUAGUAUAUACUUUAGAUUGUUAUUUUUCGAAUUUACAAAGCAAGGUGACAUGUACAACUUUUCAACAAAUCAACUUUGAUAAUAUACAAUCACUAUGUAGAACAAACCUGGUAUUUAUGAACUUACGAGAAAUGUAGUAACUGAUAGGCUCAUGCUUAUUUAUAUCUUUGGUAGAAUAGCAAGAUUAUGUACAUUAUGUUGUUCUCCCGAUAUUCACGGAAGUAGUGUUUAAUUUUGUUUGUGGUUGUUCGUUAACAUCUGAAUAUUAUAUUUCCCACAUUUGCAUUUUGGUUUCUCGAACUUCACCAACCUAUGAUUUUCUUCUACUGCAAAAAAUUGGUUUUGGCAUGAGAAUUUGGCACAUGUCAAAGAAAAUAUGCAUAUUGGAUUUGGUAAUAAUGAAAACACUAUAUAUGGUGACUUUGAAUAUAUUCAAUAUUAUCUAGGUGUAUCGUUACAUUAAAAAAUCCUUUGUUUUGAAAAUAAACUUCAAAAAUCUUAGAACGAACUAUGUGAAUUCAAUAUAAAUUCUUUUGUAACAUAAACAGGGUUCUUAAAAUGUAUUCUACUAAUUGAAAAUAUAAAUAAGUAGGUCGUGCGGUCGCACGGGUUGAUGACUAGUUACAUAUAAUCAUAAGUAGAAAUUUUGAUAUGUGUUGCAGCAAAAUGAUGUGUCGAAUUAAAGUUUAAAUAGUGGGUACUUGAUCAAUAAAUUAAAUUGUAAGUAUAAAUUAUUAAUCAUAUAUCGAUAUUAUCAUGUACUGAAUUUCUAAGGUGUAAACGUACAAGAUUUUUGUUUUCCUAACCUUAUACGCAUUUCUUUCUAGGAGAAAAACAUGCUCAUUCUUUUUGGAUGGAAGAGUCUGAUUUCUUUGUCCUUGCCACUUUUCCUUAUCCGCAUGCAGUUUUUCUUAACUAAAUAUAGCCUUUUACAACUCAACUGAGAAAAAAUAACAUAGCUUUUUAAACAUAUUUACAUGUGCAUCUGCCAUGUAAAUACUUUUUCGGGAAUCUGUCACGUAAGUUUGAGGGCCACCAUGUUUUUCAUGAGGCUUCUUUCCUAGGACAACACGUCCUUAUUUUUGGAUGGAAGAGUCUGAUUUGUUUUUACCUCUUUUCCUAGGUUGCAUGAAAUGCUUUUAAACUUAUGCAUGUGUGCAUCUAUCACGCAAGUUUUUUAAGGGUCUCAGGUAGGUUUGAGCCCCAUAACAUUAUCCAUGAUGUCUCUUUUGUUAAGACAAAGAAUUCAACUAUCAAGCGACAAACCUAUAAAAAAAAGAGAAAGAGUCCAAUUUAUACUUCUACCUGUACAAGAUUGGUGCCGUAUUAUACUUCAACAUGUACACUACUUGACUUGCUGCUACUUUUAGAAUUUAUGUGGCUUGAUGUAUUCUUCCUCUGUAAACAAAUAUGAGACGUUUACAGAGGAAGUAGAGCCUAUGCUUUAGUAUUUGUUGAUCUAUGAUUUUAGUCUGCUUGGCUUUGUCUUUUAGGCUUAUCAUUUUUUUAAUCUUGCAGUCCGCAGCAAAUGUGUCUAAGCCAGAGGGGGUUGAUGAAGAGGGUGAGAACAUUGGUGCUAUUUGUCCAAGAUUGAUGCUAUUUGUCCCUUCGGGACGUCUACAAGAUUGGUACUGUUUGUGUGCAUGUUGGUCGUGUUGAGACUAAGUCAUCAAUCCCGUUGUUGAUAAACGAUAUUAUUAUAUUUUUGGUGACAUGAUGUCAUUGUAAAUUAUUUUAUUUUUGUACAUAAAUAAUUGGUUGAUGGGCCUCUCUUAGAAAUGUGCUUUUGUGCACCAGAACCUUACAAAUUAAGGCCUAUAACUAAUUCAACUAGACUAUUUAAACCAAACUAUUGGUCCAUAUAGAUUAUGAACACUAUUUGACCAAAUAAUUGUGUUGAACAGAUUUGGCCAUAAAAAUAAAUGGUCUUGAACCUAAUAAUUGGGCCGAAAUGAUUAUGGCCUUAAAAAUAAAUGAGCCAAACUAUUAGGCCUGGCCCAUGCCGAACUGAUCAACAAAAU
rnacentral:lncRNA from 1 species